UACACUCCUGCGGGAGGCAGCAGUGGGGAAUUUUGGCCAAUGGGCGAAAGCCUGAUCCAGCAAUGCCGCGUGAGUGAAGAAGGCCUUCGGGUUGUAAAGCUCUUUUGUCAGGGAAGAAACGGUGAAAGCUAAUACCUUUUGCUAAUGACGGUACCUGAAGAAUAAGCACCGGCUAACUACGUGCCAGCAGCCGCGGUAAUACGUAGGGUGCAAGCGUUAAUCGGAAUUACUGGGCGUAAAGCGUGCGCAGGCGGUUUUGUAAGUCUGAUGUGAAAUCCCCGGGCUCAACCUGGGAAUUGCAUUGGAGACUGCAAGGCUAGAAUCUGGCAGAGGGGGGUAGAAUUCCACGUGUAGCAGUGAAAUGCGUAGAUAUGUGGAGGAACACCGAUGGCGAAGGCAGCCCCCUGGGUCAAGAUUGACGCUCAUGCACGAAAGCGUGGGGAGCAAACAGGAUUAGAAACCCUAGUAGUCCCAUGA
rnacentral:rRNA from 1 species